AUGUAAAUUAUUCUAGUACUACAAUAUUUUAGAUAGAUUGGUUGGAGCUCGUGUCGCAGACGCAACUAUUUCAAAGAAUGGAAAUCUCGUUUGCUAUCGCGCUAGAAAGAGCGACAGCCGCUAGUGGAGCUCAGAGCAGUUCAAUUUCUUGCAGUUUCCACAUCUCCCGAUCCACCCAUGGCAGCCCCUACCGUCGUCUUACUGCCGGUGUGGGGUGCCGGCCACCUCAUGCCCAUGCUCGAGGCCGGCAAGCGCCUGCUCACCCGCGGCGGCCGCGCGCUCUCGCUCACCGUGCUCCUCAUGCCAGCGCCCACGGAGGAGGUCGCGGCCGAGCUCGACGGCCACGUACGCAGGGAGGAGGCCUCCGGCCUCGACAUCCGUUUCGUCCGCCUCCCCGCAGUGGAGCCGCCGAUGGACUCCCGCGGCAUCGAGGAGUUCGUCUCCAGGCUGGUCCAGCUGCACGCGCCUCACGUCAGGGCGGCGAUGUCCAGCCUGGCGUCCCCGGUGGCCGCGUUCGUCAUCGACUUCUUCUGCACCACGCUGCUCGACGUGUCCCGCGAGCUCGCCGUGCCCGCGUACGUCUACUUCACCGCCAGCGCCGGGAUGCUCGCGCUCAAGCUGCGCCUCCCGUCGCUCCACGAGGAGGUGACGGUCCAGUUCGAGGAGAUGGAGGGCGCGGUGGACGUGCCUGGGCUUCCGCCGGUGCCGCCGUCGUCGCUCCCCAACCCAGUGAUGGACAAGAAUCACCCCAACUACACGUGGUUCGCGUACCACGGCAGACGGUUCGCCGAGGCCGACGGCAUCAUCGUCAACACGGCUGCCGAGCUCGAGCAGAGCGUGCUUUCUGCCAUCGCCGACGGGCGGUGCACGCCCGGUGUCCGUGCCCCGACGGUCUAUCCAAUUGGCCCGGUGAUCUCGUUCACCCCGCCCGCUGAGGAGCCACACGAGUGCGUGCGGUGGCUCGACACGCAGCCGGUGGCCUCCGUGGUGCUCCUCUGCUUCGGGAGCGUGGGAUUCUUCACCGCGCCACAGGCGCACGAGCUCGCGCACGGCCUGGAGCGCAGCGGCCAUCGCUUCCUCUGGGUGCUGCGCGGCCCACCGGCACCCGGGGAGCGGCACCCGUCGGACGCGAACCUCGACGAGCUGCUCCCCGACGGCUUCCUCGAGAGGACCAAGGGCAGAGGCCUGGUGUGGCCGACGAAGGCGCCGCAGAAAGAGGUACUUGCGCACGCCGCCAUGGGUGGUUUCGUGACACACGGCGGCUGGAACUCGGUCCUCGAGAGCCUGUGGUUCGGCGUGCCAAUGGCACCGUGGCCGCUGUACGCCGAGCAGCACCUGAACGCGUUCACGCUGGUGGCCUACAUGGGCGUCGCCGUGGCGAUGAAGGUGGACAGGAAGAGGAACAAUUUCGUUGAGGCCGCGGAGCUGGAGCGAGCGGUGAAGGAGCUGAUGGGCGGUGGCGAGGAGGGGAGGAAGGCGAGGGAGAAGGCCAUGGAGAUGAAGGCCGCCUUCAGGAACGCCGUGGAGGAGGGUGGCUCAUCCUACGCUGCGCUGCGGAGGCUAUCAGAGGAGAUCAUGUGCAAAGUCGACACGAACCAAUGAUGAAGUGAGGCAACUCUACAUAUGUCAAGUGUUCUUUGAUGCUUGGACAAUUGCGCCUUGGUCAUGUGUUGUGUCAGGACUCAGGAGGCAUCACGUAUUUCUGUCGUUACCAUUUUUUUUUUCAAAUUCAAAUAUAAAAGGUUUCCAUCUGGCGUAUGGGAUUAUUCUUUUUUUUUCCACAAAACGUUUCCACCUCACGGAGAAACACGGACGUUUUUUUCCCUUCAGAAGGAUGGUAUUUUGUUCCGGAAAACAUUUCCAUCUCCCUGCGAAAUAUGGACGCAGGUUUUCUUUUUUCCCCGUAGAUGAUACCGAAACCGAGCCACUUUAGGUUAAGCUGGACGGAAAAUUAUUAGUGUACUUUAAUAUUAGAUUAGAGAAAAGAAGAGAAAGAUAUAGAUAUAGAUUUAGUAUUAGAUAUAGAUAUAGAUAGGUAUAGAUAUAGAUAAUAAAUUAAAUAAAUACGGCUUCAUGUCUUCUAGAGAGUUGACAACUUAUUACAAAAAUAUAUAACAAUCAACAAAGUCUAACUCAAAAUACAGAUGGAAUAUUAUUCGACUAUUCAUCCAUCCAUCCAAAGAAACCAAAAAAUUACACGGAAGCCAUCUCUAGCACUUGACAUCCAGAUCCAGGACAAGUUUAGAGAUCUUGAUGAUACUAUCAUAAAAGUUCAGUAAUCUAAGCACCAAAAUUCAAGUGUUGAAAAUCUUUAUGGUACCUUCAUAUGACUUUAUAGACUCAAAUAUCAACAUUUGAGAGUUGGGAACCAGAUGGCACCGUUUUACAAGUAUUAGGGAUCUCCUGUCGAUUUUACUUCAAAAAAAUUAGAGAGGGAAGCGAGGCCCCAUCAGCAUUUCAGAUUUCACAACCAAUCAAUUACCCAUGCCUCUUCUUUGCACUGCCUACAACCACGUCCCCGCUACGCCCUGAAAGUUGAGGGCAGUGAAUCUAGUCUUCAAGGAGGGAUCCACUGUAUAAAUCUCAAAGAACAUCUCGCAGUUGUCCCGCCACAGCCUUGGGUUUGUUCCAUUCCAUCAAACUUCAAAAGCACGAUAAAAUCAUCAAUUUUCCCGCAGAGGUCAGAAAGGGAGCAAGCAAUUGAUAUGUUUGAUAACCCUGUUCCUAACUUCAAAAGGAUGAAAUCAACGAGAGUGACAUACCUGACUGUUUAAUAGCCCAAAAGAAAAUGGCAUUUGAACUGAUGGGGUCCUCACUGAUUAGUAACAAGGAAAUUCAGAGCUAUAUAUAAUUUAACAUAGCACACUGCAAUAUAGUUAGAAGAAGCAUGCGGAAAAUAUAGCACUGCAAUAUAAUUUCUAUCAUACCUGUUUUGUGGACCAAUCUUGCACUGCUCGAGGAAGAUUAACGUAGCUACUUAAAAAUCUGAAAUCCACUUAAAAAUUAUAUUGCAAGCUUGCAGUCAACUCAGCCUAGUCAUUUAUACAAAAAUUGUUUAGAACAUCUAUGCAUCACACAAAGGAUUUACAAAUUCACUUCUUGAUAAAGAUAAACUCACCUCAAACUUACCUGCUAAAUAACAUAAAAGUAAGACAAUUGACAUGAACAAAGUAACCAGGAAGAAGAUUAGCUGCAAAACAACACUGACAUAGACAUGUUAACCAGGAAAAAUGAGCACAGCAUGACAGCACAUGCAAAAGAAAAAUCAGAACCUCUGCCGUUAAAGCAACUACUAUAGCAUUCUUUGAAACAGAUAUAUCGGUGGUGCCAUGUAGCCCUGCUUCCAAAUCAGCAACAUCUCUGGAUGCACUCCAUUGCUCAAUACAAAGCUCGUCCAACGCAUAUCUCAUUACCUCAACAGGUGCUGCCAAUACAAAAUGCAUAUGUAAUAGAUAAGUAACAAUCAAGAGAUGAUGCAAUCUUAGAAGGCAAAGUUCAUAAUGAAGGGACUUUAAUAAUUCAAAACAGAGUAUGGAAUUUUUAUUCCACAGAACAAUACCACUCCUGCUCCCUGCAGAGAAGCAUUGCUCUUAGCUGUACCGAUACCCUUCGUUGCCACCUGCCUGCUCUUCCUGUCCACGCCAUGCACGCGUACGUGACAUGAGACUGUUCCUAGCUUCCCUGUGCCACUAGCUCAUCGUGCUCUCCCUGCUCGGGUGCCUGGCAGGCCUUCGCCUGCUCGGCGGCGUCGCGGCCGCGUUCGCGGCCACAGAGACCAUGCCGCUCAUGUUGUCCUUGAAGAAUCGAGCUUGUUUUGAAAAUAGUUUCACCAUGAGCAACUUUAUAAACGAAGCAGAACUGUUUUGGAAAAAAGUGUUUGGUAAAAUAGCUUCAUCAACUACUUUACGCAUAUAUGAUAGAGAGAAAUGAGGAAAAAAGCUACAAUAAGCUACUUUUUUCAGCUUCAUUUUAACUCAUGUUUUUGUGAAAGGAGAAGAAAAACAUCUUCACCCAUAAAACUGUUUUAGAAAUAAGUGUUUGAAAAAAAAACAGCUCAUAAAGCUCAAACAGGCCCGAAGUGGGCCAUGACCUCUUUGGAGAAUGCAGAGAAGGCGGCCGGCGCCAUCGGCGGCGAGUAGUCGGUGCUCGACCACCAGAGCUACCACCUUCCUAUUUUGCGCACUCUCAACGCCACCCUCGCGCCGCAGCGGUCUGCAAACCUAGCCAGCGAUGUGGAUUGUUUAGGAGCGUGGUUCAUGUCCAUCUUUUUCCAUGUUUGCAGGUUUUGAUCUUUGGUCGCGACGUGUUUGAAGCCUGCAUAUGUAGAUUUUUUUUUAUUUCUAACCUUUUUUACAAAUUAUUUUCGAUAUUAACACUUAAUUUUUUUCUAAACCUAACCUGUUUGGCCGCGUCACCAUACACGGCGCGGCAUUAUAAUAAGCCAUGCAUGGUGGCGCGACAGGACAGCCACAUGGCACUGGGUGGCCGCCCUGACAAGAUGACGUGGCAGCUCUUUCGCUCCACCAUCCAUGGCGCGCUCCAACAACCAGCCGUCUGGUCCUGUGCUGCGCUGCACACCAGCAAGCAGCGCUGCAGCACGUGAUAGUGGUGGGCGUGGAAUGGAGAGAGAGAAGGAGGUCGGAUAUGUGAUGGGACAAAGUCUACAUUGUAGUAUCUGUUAUGUACCUUUAACAUAUGCAUGGAAUAUUAAAUAAAAAUAAAAAUAAAAAUUAAUUAUAUAAUUUACUCUGUAAAUUAUCAAAUAAAUAUUUUAAGACUAACUAGUUAAUAAUUAGAUAUUAAUUGUCAAAUAAAAUAAAAAAAUACUAUAGUAGUUAAAUCUAAAAUCUUUUUGAAAGUAACAAUGUCCCAGCCAAAAUAAAAAUGAGCCAUGGGUCAUGGUCUCGUGACUUGAGAGAAGAGAGGCCGAUAGUGGAGCUUUAUUUAGUUUUCAAAAAUUUUCAAAAUUCUAUAUUAUAUUGAAUCUUUAAAUAUAUACAUAAAGCAUUAAAUAUAUAAUAAUUAAUUAUACAAUUUAUCUAUAAUUUGUGAGAUAAAUUUUUGAAUCUAAUUAGUUCAUGGUUAGAUAAUAAUUAUCAAAUAUAAAGUGGUAUAUUAGCCAAAUUCAAAAAUUUUAGCCACGCCUGGUCUAGGGUCCUCCAAAAAGUUUGGCAAAUUUUUUUAGAUUUCUUGUCACAUCGAAAUUUGCGGCAUAUGAAUAGAGGAUUAAAUAUAAAUAAAAGAAAUAACUAAUUACAUAGUUUAAUUAUAAUUUGCGAGACUAAUCUUUUGAACUUAGUUAAUCUAUGUUUGGAUAAUAUUUGUUAAAUACAAACGAAAGUACUACGAUCUUUAGUUUGCAAAAUUUUUAAAGCCUCUUUUGUCGUUGCUUUCGGCGGUCACCCAGUGUCACGUGGUUGCACUACCACGCCUUUAUACAUGGCGCGAUAGUGUUAUAAUGUCGCGUCGUGUACGGUGACGCUGCCAAACUGGUUAAAUUUGAAAAAAAAAUUAAGUGUCAAAAUUGAAAAUAGUCUAAAAAUGGUUAGAAAUAAAAAAAUUUCCGUAUGCGGGGUGGAGGGCGUGGGUGGCGAGAAGUCUCAUAUCAAACAUCAAGAUCAGUUGUUGGAUAAGUUUUAAUGUUUUAUUAGCCAUUAAUUUUAAUAGAGAAGAGGCCGGUGCCGCCUAAAGUUCUGUUUUUCUUUUGGUUGGUCCUCCACGGCAGGUGUUGGACGACCGAUCAGAGGUUCCGUCAUGGACGACCGAUUGGAGGUCCCGUCAUGGAUUGCAGGCCUCCAGCACAUGCAUUCUGUGCGACCAAGGUUGCGAGACCAUAGAUCAUAUCUUGGUUGGGUGUGUCCACAGUCACGAAGUCUGGCACAGGUGCUUUUUUGGGUGCACAUUCAGGGUCUCAGCUUGAGAUCGGAAUCGAUGAUGAUCCAAUGCUGGUUGGAGGCGAGAAAGAGGAUCCCUAAGCAGCGGCGCAAAGGGUUCGACACCUUCUUCUUUUUAGUAGGGUGGUGCCUCUGGAAGGAGCGUAACAGGAGAAUUUUUGACAUGUUAAUGACUCCAGCAACGCGGCUGUCAGUGAUGAUCCAAGAGGAAGCGGGGCUCCGGUGCUUGGCUGGAAAUAGGCAUUAGGGUGCGCUUCUUGUUGGAUGAUCUUGUUGGUCUCUUUUAUAGCACUAAUGGAUCUUUGUAGUUUGCUUUGUGCUUCAAAGUGGAGGGGUGAGGUCCUGCGGUAACUAAGUUACUGUGGCUUUUAAUUUUUAUAUUAGGCUGGACUCUACUUCUACUUAAUAAAAUAUACGUCCAAUUUUUUUUUGACUUAAAUAGACGUCCAAUCUGGGACGGCCGUGUUCGCGCAAAAUAAUUAUUGAUGGUGGCCUUAGGCUAGUCUCAAUGGAAGUUUCAUUAGAGUUUUAUUUGCAUUAAAUAGGUUGCCACAUAGGCCUUUUUGAUGACAUAGCAGUGUAUUUAAGAAGAGAGAGAAGAAAUGAGUUUCAUCUAGAUGAAACUCUCCAACUCUCUAUGAGUCUUGGAAUUAAAUACCUAUAAAACUAUAAAAUGAAACUCUUCAUUAAAAAUGGAUAUUUUAUUCAAGUUUCAUUUUAUUUUACAUGACAUGGCAGUCUUGAAAACAACACCAUGAAACCUCAACCACAGUGGCGCACGGAGCUAAUUAUUGAUGGCGGCCUUUAGGCCAACCACCGUGGCGCACGGCCUUAACAGCUCCACGUACGCGCAAGCCACGCUCAGUGCCUGUCAUCUCCUUUAGAGCAAGUUUAAUAAUACAGCCUACUUGCUGGCUGUAAGGUUCUUUACAGCCUUCUUCUAGCUCACCUAUACAAUAGUUAGCUAUUCACUAUUAAUACAUGACCCACUUAUCUCUCUCACAAAGUUUCUUGGUUAUUGUGUCUAAGCUGGCUGUAAGCUUACAGCCUGCUUCUCCUCUCUCUCCUCUCUUCUCUUCUCCGCAUCAGCAUUUAGCCAGCUUACAGCCCACCAUAAUACUUGCUCUUAGAGCAAGUUUAAUAAUACAGCUCACUUGCUGGCUGUAAGGUUUUUUCAGCCUUCUCCCGGCCCACCCAUACAAUAGUUAGCUAUUCACUAUUAAUACAUGGCCCACUUAUCUCUCUCACAAGGUUUUUUGGUUUCUGUGCCUAAGCUGGCUGUAAGUUUACAGCCUGCUUCUCCUCUCUCUCCUCCCUUUCCUCCUCCACCUCAGCAUUUAGCCAGCUUACAGCCCACUAUAAUACUUGCUCUUAUAUGGACGCACUACAGGAACCUCAUUUGGUUUCCCCACUCUCCACUCGCUUCACCGAGCUACACAAUUCAAUUAUUCUACUCGUGGAGCCCGGCCGUGUCUCGGACGCAACUAUUUAAAGGAUGGAAAUCUCGUUUGCCAUGGUGCUGGAAAGAACGACAGCCACCCACCGUGGAGCUCAGAGCUCUUCCAUCACUUGCGGUUUCCACAUCCAAGCACCUCACCUUCUCGCCCCGUCCCGAUCCAUCCAUGGCAGCCCCUACCGUGGUCUUACUGCCGGUGUGGGGUGCCGGCCACCUCAUGCCCAUGCUCGAGGCCGGCAAGCGCCUGCUCACCCACAGCGGCCGCGCGCUCUCACUCACCGUUCUCCUCAUGCCAGCGCCCACGGAGGAGGUCGCGGCCGAGCUCGACGGCCAC
rnacentral:lncRNA from 1 species